CCGUGGCCCGCAGCAGGACAUCGGUGGGGACCAGCUGUGGGCAUGUGCAUGGCUGCCGUCUUAGUGAUGACAGCAAAACCUCAUGGGUCCAGAUCCAGGAGCACGGUUUUAAGGAUCAGUCUCAGUCCCAGAGCUCCAGAGAGGCAGCUGUGACACAGUGGCAGUGGCAGGAGAGAGGGGCCAUAUUCAAGGGGAGAGAGAGUGGAAAUGGUACAAGACGGACAGAGGGUGAGUGUGGAGCUUCAGGACCCCCGUGACCUGGUGAAGAGAGUCUCGCCGUAAAGCAUGAUGGAUAGACGAAUUCGGUUGAUCGGGGACAUUCCGCUCUGCUGGAGAUGGAGAUCUGACCCAGGAGGGGUCCCAUCCGGGACCUGCACUGUUGUGGGUGGGCGAGGUCUGGGGGACUGAGACGGGACCCUGUGUGUUGAUGCCCAAAUGCACAAUAAAGGCAGGUGGAUAUGCA
rnacentral:lncRNA from 1 species